GACGAACGCUGGCGGCGUACUUAACACAUGCGAGUCGAACGGAAAGGCCCUGCUUUUGUGGGGUGCUCGAGUGGCGAACGGGUGAGUAACACGUGAGUAACCUGCCCUUGACUUUGGGAUAACUUCAGGAAACUGGGGCUAAUACCGGAUAGGAGCUCCUGCUGCAUGGUGGGGGUUGGAAAGUUUCGGCGGUUGGGGAUGGACUCGCGGCUUAUCAGCUUGUUGGUGGGGUAGUGGCUUACCAAGGCUUUGACGGGUAGCCGGCCUGAGAGGGUGACCGGCCACAUUGGGACUGAGAUACGGCCCAGACUCCUACGGGAGGCAGCAGUGGGGAAUAUUGCACAAUGGGCGGAAGCCUGAUGCAGCAACGCCGCGUGCGGGAUGACGGCCUUCGGGUUGUAAACCGCUUUCGCCUGUGACGAAGCGUGAGUGACGGUAAUGGGUAAAGAAGCACCGGCUAACUACGUG
rnacentral:rRNA from 1 species